AUUCGUUCCAAUGUAUUGCGCUGGAGCAGCUGUUACCGGUGGUGUAUUGUAAUUGCACGGAGAUUAUAGUCGCAACAGUGAGUACAUAUAAAAAGCAGGUGUUCUGCAAAAUAGAUAUUAGAAAUGCGAAGAUAG
rnacentral:lncRNA from 1 species